rnacentral:rRNA from 1 species
UACGUAGGGGGCAAGCGUUGUCCGGAAUUAUUGGGCGUAAAGAGCGCGUAGGCGGUCCGAUAAGUCGGCUGUGAAAGUCAAGGGCUCAACCCUUGAAAGCCGGCCGAAUACAUGUCGGACUGAGUCCGGAAGAGGCGAGUGGAAUUCCCGGUGUAGCGGUGAAAAUGCGCAGAUAUCGGGAGGAACACCAAUGGCGAAGGCAGCUCGCUGGGACGGUACUGACGCUGAGGCGCGAAAGCGUGGGGAGCAAACAGGG